rnacentral:misc_RNA from 1 species
GAUGAAGAACGUAGCGAAAUGCGAUAAGUAAUGUGAAUUGCAGAAUUCAGUGAAUCAUCGAAUCUUUGAACGCACAUUGCGCCCCUUGGUAUUCCGAGGGGCAUGCCUGUUCGAACGUCAUUAUAACCCCUCAAGCUCAGCUUGGUGUUGGGGCCUGCUGCACUGGCAGCCCUUAAAAUCAGUGGCGGCGCCAUCUGGCUCUAAGCGUAGUAAUUCUUCUCGCUAUGGAGUCCUGGUGGAUGCUUGCCAUCAACCCCCAAUUUUUCUAUGGUUGACCUCGGAUCAGGUAGGGAUACCCGCUGAACUUAAGCAUAUCAAUAAGCGGAGGA